UACGGGAGGCAGCAGUGGGGAAUAUUGCACAAUGGGCGCAAGCCUGAUGCAGCCAUGCCGCGUGUAUGAAGAAGGCCUUCGGGUUGUAAAGUACUUUCAGCAGUUGAGGAAGGCGGAGUCGUUAAUAGCGGCCUCGUUUGACGUUAGCUGCAGAAGAAGCACCGGCUAACUCCGUGCCAGCAGCCGCGGUAAUACGGAGGGUGCGAGCGUUAAUCGGAAUUACUGGGCGUAAAGCGCAUGCAGGUGGUUCGUUAAGUCAGAUGUGAAAGCCCGGGGCUCAACCUCGGAAUUGCAUUUGAAACUGGCAGACUAGAGUACUGUAGAGGGGGUAGAAUUUCAGGUGUAGCGGUGAAAAUGCGUAGAGAUCUGAAGGAAUACCGGUGGCGAAGGCGGCCCCCUGGACAGAUACUGACACUCAGAUGCGAAAGCGUGGGGAGCAAACAGGAUUAGAUACCCUGGUAG
rnacentral:rRNA from 1 species